AAGUGACAUAAGAAACAUUACUCAGUAUUAUGCUGUUUUCCAACUACUCAAGCUGAAUGAGAAUGAGUGAGUUUAUCUAUCUACUAAAAAGAAGGGCAGAGGGAUAAUCUUUUCCCUCCUCCUUCCAUGAAUUACCAGAGAAGACAGAAGCGCUCAUUUUGGAAGGGAUUACUUGCUCGGAAUACAAUUAAAAAGCGGAAAGCAGAAGAAGAAAAGGAGAAAGCUGCAGUGGGUCCAAAUUGCUGCUCCACGAGCUAGAGGGAGCCCCAGCUGACGAAGCGUCAAGGCCCCAGCUGACAAAGCAUCAAGGCGAGUUAAGUAGCAGAGCGAAAAGAGGACGGAUAUGGGCAACAGUGAGAUAUGAGGCCAGAGGCCUUCAAAGGGAUAAGAAGAAGCCCCAGCAUAAGCUGCUCUGGGACAUGUGUCCCUCCCCAGUUAGACUCGAGGUUGCUGGAUGGGGAUGGAGCAGAUGCGCAUCCUAACCCGGAGGGCCGCAAAAUCGAGCAUGGGCUCACAGUUGGGCCUCAGUCGAUGGACUGCAAUACAGUGGCUUGGCCGGAGAGGAAUGCGUUGGGAUGGGCUCCUACCCACUUUAUUCCAGCAAGGUUCAAUGUGGACGGUUCCGCAUGUGGUGGUCAUUCCCCUGGGUGGGAAUGACCUCGGUUACUUGAGGCAAGAACCUCAAGUGGCAGGCAUGUGAAGACAUGCAGUUGACAAGGCAACGAUGGCCUUUAGUACAUCUGCUGUGGUCAGACAUUCUCCCAUGCAGGGUGUGGCAUGGUGUAUGGGACCCAAAGGGGAUGGUUCGGGCACAGAAGAGGGUCAACUGGCGGAUUUGGUUGGCUCUUCUUGAACACAAGAAGAUGGCUGUUCCACAUCCCCACAUACAGCAUUGGAAGGUUGAACGA